rnacentral:rRNA from 1 species
GACGAACGCUGGCGGCGUGCUUAACACAUGCAAGUCGAGCGAGAACCACAGGAGGGGUAACCCUUCUGUGGGGAGAGCGGCGAACGGGUGAGUAACACGUGGGCAACCUGCCCCAGACUCUGGGAUAACUCCGGGAAACCGGGGCUAAUACCGGAUACUCUCGAUCCGCCACAUGGCGGUUCGAGGAAAGUUUUUCGGUCUGGGAUGGGCUCGCGGCCUAUCAGCUUGUUGGUGAGGUAAGGGCUUACCAAGGCGACGACGGGUAGCCGGCCUGAGAGGGCGACCGGCCACGCUGGGACUGAGACACGGCCCAGACUCCUACGGGAGGCAGCAGUGGGGAAUAUUGCACAAUGGGCGCAAGCCUGAUGCAGCGACGCCGCGUGAGGGAUGACGGCCUUCGGGUUGUAAACCUCUUUCAGCAGGGAAGAAGCGCAAGUAACGGUACCUGCAGAAGAAGCACCGGCUAACUACGUGCCAGCCGCCGCAGUAA